UACGUAGGGUGCAAGCGUUGUCCGGAAUUAUUGGGCGUAAAGAGCUCGUAGGCGGUCUGUCGCGUCGGAUGUGAAAAUCCAGGGCUCAACCCUGGACCUGCAUUCGAUACGGGCAGACUAGAGUUCGGUAGGGGAGACUGGAAUUCCUGGUGUAGCGGUGAAAUGCGCAGAUAUCAGGAGGAACACCGGUGGCGAAGGCGGGUCUCUGGGCCGAAACUGACGCUGAGGAGCGAAUGCGUGGGGAGCAAACAGG
rnacentral:rRNA from 1 species